UUUUCUUUCCACACAAAAAUGGACCUACGAACACUCCGGUUGAGUUUGAAGAACAAGAAAAACAGUAGAGGUCUACCCGGUACCUAUGGUUAAACAUGAUGACCAUAAGUGCAUGCAUCAUUUUGCAGAUUCUCAUCCAGGAUGAUGCAGCUCUACAAUUUCCAUGGAGGUGAUUGAUGAUGAUAAACAAUUGGUGAAGUAGGCCUAAUAGAACAGUGAUAGGACCACAAAGAGAAAUACAACCUACAGCAGUUAUAUGAGACUGGUGUAACAGAUGUUUUCAUUCAAGAAAUCCAACAAAUUGAAGAGUGACUUAGCUUAGGAAGCACUUGAUAAAGAUGGAAAAGGUUCUUUUUUUCAAGUCCAAUUUUUUUUAAUUUUAAUUAUUAUCACAACCCCAAAUUCAUGAAGUAUGAAAUUUCCUGUUGAUUUUCAUUAAAACUGGUUGCAAAAAGAGACGCUAUAAACAGUCAAAUAGGAGCGGCGAAGUGAAGUUGAAAUUGGGGGGGGGGCACAGGGAAAAUGCUGUAUUAUGUCAAAUUUUUAAGAAGUUGCGAGAGAGCAAAAUUUUGACAUUUUUAAAAAGAAAAUCCAAUUUUGUGAUAGAUUUCGACAAAAUAUUCAGAAUGAUAUAUUUCACCCUUUUUUUUGGGGGGGGGGGGCAAGAGUCCUUCAAGCCCCCCCCCCUCCAUCUGUAGUGUACGAAACUGCUUAUCUACCCCCACUCACAUGAAUUAUUAAACUUAAUGCACAAAGGAUUUCCUUAUUGUUUUCUUGUUUCAAAGGGCACUCGUCAUGGUGACCAUAAAACGGGUCCUUCUCAGGUGAAAGGGGCACAGAACAAGUUCUUUAGGAGCACUUUUCUUGGGUAAAAGGGGGCAGUUAUUCGAGAAAGGGCACUUACAAGAAGGCGAGGGGGCACUUUUUAACACAUAAAACGGGCCCUCAGAUGAAAGGGCACAGAACACGUUCAGGGGGGGGGGGGCAUUUUUUGGUAAAAAUUUGCAUACAAGGAAGAGCACUUGGUAACACCUAAAACAGGUUCUCGUCAGGUGAAAGGGACACAGUACACGUUCGUGAGGGGGCAUUUUUCUGACAUAAAAUUAAAGGCACUUUUCAGUGCUUCAAAAAGUACUGUGCCCCCCAGGAUCGCUGCCCCUGCAUACAAAAAACAUUUUCGUUCGAUUCAAAGUAUUAACAUACGCUUAAGAAAAAAAGUAAGGCUAAAUCCUCUGAUAAUGUGAUAUUUUUUUCUGGCUAUUAAUAAAAUUCACAACUAACCAGAAAAUGCCUUCAUGUCUUUCAUUUGUAUUCAUAUGGUAUUUGUACAGAGCUAAAAUGAAAGGGAUUUGGAAUUGGCAAAAUUCAAAAUGAGAUGGAGAGAAAGAGUGAUGGGAAGGGGGUUGAAAAGAGAUGAGAAAGAAAUGGAGGGGCACAUAUGAAGAGGUAAUUUAGAGAGGGGGGUAAGAGAGCACGAAUGGUGGGAAAUAGGAACAAAGGGGUGGAAGAGAAAUAAGACGAGAUUUAUGGAAAUCGGGAGACAGAUAACAAGUGGGAAAAGAAGAAGGAAAUAUAUGUAGGAGAAAGGCGGCACCAAAAGAACGUGAGUGGGAAAAUUAUUAAAUGGAAAAACAGAGCAAGAAAUGCUGGAGAAUAAAGGGGACAGGAAACGUAUUAAACAUGAUAAACUGGGGCCCGUUUCAUCAUGAGUUACAAGUAUGGUAAUUAUGAUUGGUUAUAGCCGUUACCAUCGUAGUUUACUACGAUGGUAACUGCUAUAACCAAUCAUAAUCUAGGUUACCACGGUAAUCACAAUAACAGCGAUGUUUAAAUAGCUGUAAUUCAUUAUGAAACGAAUGAAGAAAACAGGCACGGGGAUCCAUGAGGGGCCCGGCCCCUUACGUAUUAUACCUUGAACAAAAGAUUUUUUUUUUUGCUUCUCGAAAUUUGAAACAAGAAAUGUACUCUUUUAGUGGUGACAGUUAUUUUUUUCAGUAACCAUACUCGACCAUUGAAAAUUACCAUCAAAUUGUAAUAACCAUGUUCUGCCCCCGCCCCCCCCCCCCUAGAAAAAAAUAAGAAAACAAGACUUUUGGGUCAGUGCAACAGCCCCCUUUGAUCCGUUCGGCGGCCUCUGCCGGCUACUUAGAGUCUAGAUUCAAUUCAAUUAUUUUAUUUUCUACUUUCAAUUUCAUAUUUACAAUUAUGAUACAAUUGACAAAGUAACAUAUAAUCACACCUAAGUUGAAGUACAUACAAAAAUUGACAACAUUAUAAAAUUACAAUAGACAAUUAUCAAAUCGAAAUAUAAAUAAUUGAAAGGGAGGGAGUGCCAACUGAAAAGCAGAGCUUGUAUAAUGUAGGCCCCCCUAAUAUUGAUUAAUUAAUAUUGAUUCUUUACAUUUGUUAAAAACUAAGAUUCCUGUAUAUCUUAACAUGUGACAAUUUGGGGAUGGCAAAAGCGCUGGAGACCUCUUCUUCUUCUUCUUCUGGAAACAGUACAGUCCACCGUCUGGUGUAUUGUCGUACCUAAUCACGAUUUGAUCUAGGCCUACUCUUUUCAUCUUCCAUUUUUAGAAUUAGCAUAGGCCUAUAAGACGCAAUACAAACAAUGCUUUGUUUUGAAGUGAUAUCGCUUGUGAUAUCGAUACUUUAUAGAGCGCAACGUAUCGUCUCAGAUUUGCGCUUGCUUGAUUCGCUGAAUCCUUCGCGUCACGAGCGCGUAACAAAAUGAAUACAUUCAUGAAUUUGCCAAGUUGACCUUUGGCUUUGUCAUUGCGCUGAUAUCUGAUGUGCGUAUUGUCUAAUACACGUACAAAACCACAGUUGACGAGGGAGCAUCGUACGAAAUUAAUAUUAAUGAGGGCUUAUUUUAGCUUCUAAUGGAUUAAACAAAAUGGCGGUAGCUUCGGGGGCUUGGUUUCAAAAGAGGUGGUCGAUAUGUGGUAGUCUCACCAUACGCCUAACGUUAGUUGUCAUUUUUAAAAAGCACUGAAAUUUGAAAUAAGGUGUCCGGCACUAGAUACACUGCCAUACGGUCCCCGGUGCUUGUCCUUGGAAAUGCCUUCGGCUUCGCAUGACAAUAAUAUUUCUUCUCAUUUUUACGUGGUAUUCAAACUUACAUUAUUUCAUAUAGGCCUACCGCCUACACUUUUAAAACAACGAAAACUAGGAAAAAGCUAAUUACCAACCUCUCUUUCGUGGUCUUUCGUUCCCCCUUUGCUUGGCCCUUCGACUUCGUUCCGUCA